rnacentral:rRNA from 1 species
UACGUAGGGCGCAAGCGUUGUCCGGAAUUAUUGGGCGUAAAGAGCUCGUAGGCGGUGUGUCGCGUCGGAUGUGAAAGCCCGGGGCUUAACCCCGGGUCUGCAUUCGAUACGGGCAGACUGGAGUGUGGUAGGGGAGAUUGGAAUUCCUGGUGUAGCGGUGGAAUGCGCAGAUAUCAGGAGGAACACCGGUGGCGAAGGCGGGUCUCUGGGCCGAUACUGACGCUGAGGAGCGAAAGCGUGGGGAGCAAACAGG